CAGGGAUGGUGCGAAGCAGAUCGGGCCCCGGCGCCCUGUUCUGUGAGGAGGCCGUGACGACCGUCGGGCGCAUGGGGCCGGCGGCUCUAUCCGGCGAGGACCGGCGGCAGCAAUGAAGACCUGGACCCCGGCGUCCAGUUCUGAAGGUGGUUGCGGAGGACGUUGGGCGCGUGGGGCCGGCGGCCGCCGGCCGUGCGUCUGCAGUGGUGGUCUGGCUCGGGUUGGUGGUCGGAGGUGCAGCGCCGGGUGAAGACUUUGCUGCCGGCUCUUGAGCUGGGGCAGGCGACGGCGACGCCUGCGGGCGCCGCUUCCUUCUUGAAGGCGUCGCUGAGGCGUUCCUGCUCACUCCACUACGCAAGGAUGCUCGGGGGAAACCCUUGAUCCCCUAGGAUCGGACGAUGAUGGCGGCGUGCGUCGCACCUCUUGGGGCAUCGUUCCAGGAGCUCCUUACCGUCCAGAGGGACCAGUGAUAGGUGGGGGAGGUCGUGCUGCUCGGUCGUGUCCGCACGGCAAUGGAGCAGUCUGGCUUCUGUGGCAACGAUAACGGCGGUGAGCAUUGUCGGAGGCGUGGCAUUGGUCAUGGUAGUCGGCUCUUCUCCGGCGUGUCCGUGAGACUACCUCGGCUGCUUGUUUCUGUGAAGUCGAAGCUGCGGUGCGGGGCACCGGUGGUGUACGAUGACGAGCGACAAGUGGUCCGUUCAGUGAUCUUCCGUGACGCCAACAUUGCUUUGCUCUCUGUAGUUCUCCGCAGGAGUUGGAGUUGCGUUGUCUUGCUGUGAGUGGAUGGCGUUCCGCCGUGUAAGGGUAGUGUUGUUCGAUGGCCAAUAGGGUUGUCGUUUUUCUUUUCUCAUUGAUCUUCGGAUCCUCCCCAUGUUGUUCUUCCGCUACUUUCUGCUUAAUCUAAUUGAAGCCAGCAAUUUGCUGGAUCUUUCAAAAAAAAAAAAAAAACAGAGGAGGGCCCAG
rnacentral:lncRNA from 1 species